UACGGAGGGUGCAAGCGUUGCUCGGAAUUAUUGGGCGUAAAGGGCAGGUAGGUGGUCUUGUUUGUCUGGGGUGAAAUCCUUGAGCUUAACUCAAGAAGUGCCUUAGAAACGGCAAGACUAGAGUCUCGGAGAGGCUAGUGGAAUUCCCGGUGUAGCGGUGAAAUGCGUAGAGAUCGGGAGGAACACCAGAGGCGAAGGCGGCUAGCUGGACGAGCACUGACACUCAACUGCGAAAGCGUGGGGAGCAAACAGG
rnacentral:misc_RNA from 1 species